UACGUAGGGACCAAGCGUUGUUCGGAUUUACUGGGCGUAAAGGGCGCGUAGGCGGCGUGGUAAGUCACUUGUGAAAUCUCUGAGCUUAACUCAGAACGGCCAAGUGAUACUGCUGUGCUAGAGUGCAGAAGGGGCAAUCGGAAUUCUUGGUGUAGCGGUGAAAUGCGUAGAUAUCAAGAGGAACACCUGAGGUGAAGACGGGUUGCUGGGCUGACACGUGACGCUGGAUGCGCGAAAGCCAGGGGAGCAAACGGG
rnacentral:rRNA from 1 species